UAGGUGACCUGCGGAAGGAUCAUUGUCGAAACCUGCCCAGCAGAACGACCCGCGAACACGUUGUUAAACCGGGGGGGCGAGGGACCCUCGGGCCCCGACCCUCCCCCCGGCGCCGGCCGCGCGUCGGCGCCAAACGAACCCCGGCGCUAUCUGCGCCAAGGAAACCAAAACGAACGAUCGCGCGACGGUAGGCCCAGAAACGGUGCCGCCGGAGCCGAGUCGUCUUCGAUAUGUCAAAACGACUCUCGGCAACGGAUAUCUCGGCUCUCGCAUCGAUGAAGAACGUAGCGAAAUGCGAUACUUGGUGUGAAUUGCAGAAUCCCGUGAACCAUCGAGUCUUUGAACGCAAGUUGCGCCCGAAGCCAUCCGGCCGAGGGCACGUCUGCCUGGGCGUCACACACCGUUGCCCCCCCAAACCCCUUCGGGGCAGGAGGGGGGGCGGAUGCUGGCCUCCCGUGAGCCUCGCCUCGCGGCCGGCCCAAAUGCGAGAUCCCUGCCGCGGGCGUCGCGGCGAUGGUGGUUGUCGAAUAACUCGGUGCCCCGUCGCGAGCGCCCCCGGCGUGCCGUCUCGGAACGACCCCUGCGCGCGGCCCAGCGCCGCGCNUCCAACGCGACCCCAGGUCAGGCGGGGCUACCCGCUGAAUUUAAGCAUAUC
rnacentral:misc_RNA from 1 species